GAUGAAAUGAGAGAGAUGAGGAUGAAGACACCACCAGGUUGUAGUUGGAUUACGAUUGGUCCAGAUAUCAAACAUACAAACAGGUGUUCCAAUACAUGGUCAACAUAUGGUCAUACCCAAGAACCACUCUUUGUCUAACCAAACCACAGAAGGGUCCUUGAAAGCCUGAGCCUUGAGACUGUUAUCUGGCAAUAUCAGAAGUUGAAGAAAAUUUCGAGAUGUACAAAAUUAAUUAUCCGGAGAACCAAUAAGUGGCUGAAGCUGUAGAGGAAGGCAAGAAGAUGGACCAGAUGUACACAGGGUCGAGGGGAAGAAUUAAAUGCAGGAAUUUUCUGUAGGGAUAUGAGAGAAUCAAGUACAAGCUUAUAAAUGCCAGAUCUAAGGAGGUUAUGCUGAUUGAAAGACUCCUGUGAUAAAACAAACAAUAGGUAAAUAUAGUUGGAAAUGACUACUCCAUGAUGGAGUUGGGAGAGGUCACAGAAUUGAUGCUUGCCUGGGAACGUGUUUGAUGUUUGCAUGUCCUAUUCAAAAGAUUAAAGAACAACUCUCCCUUAAAAUUUGCAAUUGUUGAUGAUGAUGCUGACACCUUUUGUUGACUGGUUCAGAGGUGGGAGGAAGCAAGGUUUAGGAUUCAAGAUGAUACCUUUAGUUGGGACUUGGUUUGGUUGGCUGGACUCAGACACUAGUCAUAAUCACUUUAACAUCCCCGUUGAGGGCGGAGCAUAGGUGUGUGAUUCUUGUUUCAUAGACCGCGAAUGUCUGAGAGAACCCCUGCUCCCUCAUCUUCUUCCCAACAGCGUCUCUUUCAUGAAGAAGUCCCAGCAAAUCUUGCAACAUAUAAAUGCUACUGUCCAUGAUGGUGGAGCACUUGUGCUGAUUGGUACCAAUGGCUGUAGCUAGACACCCUCCUUCAUAAGUUGGUUGUGACAAGCCUUCUGCUAGUCACGUCCUGUGGAAUGGGCAGUAGACCACAGAUUUAGAAAUUUUCCCCGAGAGAAGUUCCUUGUCUUCUUAAAAGGAAGCUGGGAUAUUUCAUUUCCCGCUUCACAACUGAUGCGGCUAGGAAUUCUGUCAAUGGGGGUUAUGGGGCACUUGAAGAGCUUGCACAGCAGCUCACGAGGUUGCUAGCAAUUGAAAAUACCUAUUUGAUUGCUUGAUGAGCCUUUCUGUUUGCUGCAUUGAACAAUGCUGGUGAGUGCUGUAUUGCUUGUUGAGCCUUCUGUUGUCAUUGAUAGUGUAUGUCAUGUCCCUUUUUUUCACUUCUUUAAAUUUCAAGCAUUGCAAAUUGUUGAUGGGUCGAUUUUGACAAAAAUACCCCUUUUCAGCAGUAUAAAUGAAUAGACACUAGGGUUCCACACUCAAGAGAGUUUAAGAAUGAGGCUUUGCACUCAGAGAGAGGCCCUCUCUGAAUGUCUGCGGAGCCGAUGAUUCAAAACCCAUUACUCUCUUUCUCUGUUCAUCAUCAUCAUCAUCAUCUUCUUCUUCUUCUUCUUCUUCUUCUUAAAUCAAAUGGCAAGAGGCGGUGAUGAUUUUUUUUUUCAGUUUCUAUUAACCAGACCGGUGGGAAAGGCGAGCGGGUCUACUUGGCGGGGCGACCCGGUUGCUCCUGUUGGGCGAAAAUGACUAUUUUGUCCUUUCACCUCACAGGCGGCGGCCCGGUGUUCGCAGCCAUGGAAGGCCGCGUUUGCCGCCCUCUCUUUUGUCUGACAGAAGGCGAAUCUGAGCCUCGCCCAUUUAACUAUCCUAUUUACUUUUUUACUGUCUUGUUGUCAAAACCCAGUUGGUAAAGUAAGUAAUUGGGUGAAACCCAAUUGGUAAAGUUGAGGGAUUUAACCAUUUUCAGCUCAGUUCUUGAACACCUAGUUGUUGAAAUGAAAUGUCACUUGGAAUUUUCAAUUCUGGUUGAGCAUAUGAGUUGGGUCUAUUGGAACCUAGAUUUUGUA